AUUAGAAAUUAAAACAUCAUUAUAUCAUUACAAAAAUAGUUUAGACCUUACCAAACUCUUAAACAAAAGGCAUACAAAACCAUUGUGCUACAAUAUACUAUUUCAUGAGCUUUCUCAGGACUUCUAAUCCCAAGUCUGAGGAUUUAAAAGGCCUCGUAUAGUGACACCUUAUAGAGCCAGAUGUGAAAAUGUGAAGGCAGACAUAGACCUUACUAUAUAGAAGCUGAUAUUGUGACACAAAUUCAGCUCUGUAGAGGCAUAUGAGUAUAACUAUGCCUUAUGUUCAGAGGUAAUUAGGUGAUACAAAGGCUAGAGCAUUAGCCCUGGAUUUAGAAAGACCUAAAUUCAAAUCUAACCUCUGACACUUACUAGCUAUGUGACCCUGGGCAAGUCACUUAACCUUUGUCUGCCUCCAUUUCUUCAACUAUAAAAUGGGCUGUUGUGAAGAUCAAAGGAGAUAAUGUCUGUAAACUUAGUGUAAAGCAUUUAGUGCCUGGAACAGAUAUUUAAUAAAUACUUAUUCUUUCCUUUCCCUCCUUCCCAGCUUCUCCCCACCAUCAAUCCCUUAUGUAUAGCUUUCUGAGUACUAUUCAUCAGUUUAGAAGAGAAAGACAGCUUUUCCAUACCAGAGGUAUAAUUCAAUUACAGCAAGGCAUGAGUUCUAGCAAGAGUUUCCAUUUUAACAGGGGAGAAGAUAGCAGCAUCCCAUUUGGAGAGAACACUUGAAAAUUUUACUCACAACUAGAAUCGAUUUCUUCCCAAAUCCAGUGGCUUGGAUUGGAAGCUCUUUCCUGAGUUCUCUGACCUCGAAUCACAUUAAGGAAGAAAUCUGAAAAAAGCAGAGAACCCCUAAACCCAGGCUUGUGAGUUUCUACUCCGGUUGGAGAUCAGUUUUGCCUGUGUAUUCCAACACAGAUAAGGAUGUCACACUGAAGCCUUUACUCCCCCUGCUGGCUAAACCAUAGAUGGAACUCCUGCUAGGACUUCCCCACUGGAAUGUUGCUCACUUGUUGCUUGAGAACCAGUAUAGUCUCCUCUUGAAUGACUCCAGACUACUGUCUUUAACACUUACUAAUUCUCCUUACAAUGUCUUAGGAUCAGGGUAUUGCUUGUAUCCCAGCAUUUGUUCCUCCUCUGUUUCUUUUUUGCAUCCAGGACCUGCUAGUUCUUUACCCCUGCUGUUGCUCCUCCCCAGCAUUAAUUGCUCCCCAGUCAGUACUUCUGGAAUAGAUUUUCCUUUAGUUUCUGAAGUGGCUCCCUCUCUGCCUUGUAUCCUUACUGCUAGUCUCAGUGCACCAACUUUGAAAUUUUCCUUAUCCAUCACUUCCUUUCUAUUUCCAUCCUCAUUGGUUCUACAUUAUUAUAGUAGCAUUCUUAUAGGUAUCCCCAUCUAAUUUCAGACUAAUAAACUACCUUUUUUUAUCAUGUUACUCAUCCUUCUCUGCCGGGCAUCUGGUUAUGCCCAACCCACUUCUAUUGCAACCAGGAUGAAUUUCCCCCAGCCAGAAUGUUUUCCAUUCAAUCACAACUUUCCUGUCUUUUAAUCCACAAUUUAAGACUCACUGCUUUCAUGAAACUUCUUCUAAACACCUCUGCUCACCUUAGUUUUUAUCUUCUCUAAACUUAGAACUAUUAUAACUUGACAUAUGCAGUUAUUUCUUAUUGUAUUUUAUAUGUAUGUGUGUAUAUUACUUUUCUCAGUAAGUCUCUAAGCUCUUGGAGGGCAACUUUGUCUCCUGCUUCUUUUGUAUUCUCCAUGGAGUUUACUAGUAGAUGUGUGUAAGUGCUAGCUAAAUAUCCUGGAAUCAAUACAAUGCUGCUCCUGCUCCCAUUUUGGUUCUGCCUAGGGACUUCUUGGUCAAUCAUUUGAAUGAAAAGCCCCAGUUUUCCACCUACCUGUUUUUGGAUUUAAACUAAGCUAACAUUGCCUCCUCAAACAUUCAAAAUAUUGUUAGUCUGGGUCAGAGUUCAACACAAAGAUUUCUCUAAGUCAGAACCAUAACAUCUCACAGGUCAUCUAGUUGCAUUCAUAACUGAACAGGAAUCCCUUUUACAACAGCUCUGAUAAGUGGUCAUUUGGCCUCCGUCAAGAGGUAAUCUGUGAGCAGUUAGAUGGCUCAAUAUAGAUAGAAAGAUAGAAAGCCAGGCCUAGAGAUGAGAGGUUCUGGGUUCAAAUGUGGCUUCAGACACUUCCUAGCUAUGUGCCCCUGGGCAAAUCACUUUAUCCCAAUUGCCUACCCCUUAUUACUCUUCUGCCUUGGAACUGAUAUGGAUUUUAAGACUGAAGGUAAGGGUUUAAAAAAAGGUGUGUGGGGGGGAGGGGAGACCUGCUACUUUCCAAGGCAUCCCAUUCCACUUUUGGACAGUUCUAGUUUUAGGAAGUUUUUAUAUACAUCUACCUUAAAUUUCUCUUUUACCUACUUUCUCUGCUACAUCAAAUCAAUCAAGUUGAUCAUUUGAUCUCUACUUCCUCCUAAAACUGUUUGAGGGGAGUGUAAAAUGCAGUUGUCUGUCUUUCACCACUUCCCUCCCUAGAGUCCUUAGAGGCCUAACCAUAGUGAAAUAGGAAGAGAGUGAUGAUUGGGUAAUAGGGCAUACUAGAGACUUAAAUGAAUGGGCUUUUCUUGAAGGAAGGUUUCUUUCAGAGUGUCCUAAUUUCAGGCUAAAAUAGUGCCAUCUUAACACAUCUUAGAUAUUGUCUUCUGCUUGAGGCCCUUGAGGAGUUGAAGAUCCCUUGUUGAGCAUCAACUCAUUCCCCCAAGGUGCAUCUGGCAUAAUGGAGGGAGGAAAGGACUGACCUAUCCGUUCAUAAAUAGUUGGAUUCUAGUCCUUCUGGACACACAUAACUCUAUAUAGAAGGGCAAAUCACUCAACCUGUAAUGCCCCAGGCAACAUUCCAAGACGGUAGAUAACCCAGAAGGGAUCGAGCUGCGUCAUUGCGUCUCUACACUAAUAGUUGCCCAAACCUGGGAAAUCACAGAUUAGGAUCCCCUUCCCCCGACCCUUACUCCUUGGCAAAAAAGGGGAAAAAAUCAACACAAACGAAAAACAGCCCCUUUCCCCGCCACCCCCGAAUUUCCCUAAACCUGUUACUACAACUCCGGUUCACAGGGAUUUCUGCUCUCUUUGCCCCGCCCACUACUUUGUUAGGAGUGCGAAUGAAUGAUGCGUCUCUGUCUCCUGGGAGGCUCAGCUGAGAGGCGUAGGAUUUUGGGACCGGAAACGGGUGCUGCUUUGGACAGCUCACUCCCGCCCUUCUAGUCUGCGCCUCUGCGGCCGCCAGGUGGCGCUUAAAUGCCCAAUUCUCGUUCCAAUUGCUCGCCAGCGAGAGAGAUCGGUAGGCUGGGAACAACACGGAUGCGUGCUUCAGUUCCAACCACCAUCCCUUGCUCUCUGGUCCCCUUUCCGGUCCACCGGGCCUCCCAGUCUAGCUGACCUUGGUCUGACUGCCCUCCCACGUGCAGGUGCUCUCUGCGGCCAGACGCCGCCAGCUCCAUGCAGUGCGGAGAACCUGGAAACGCCCGGCCUAGUGUAAUACAUUCACACAGCUCCCUACUCGUAUCCCUACUCCCCAUCGGAGCUCUCCCCACCCCCGGCCCAAGACUCUUUGAAAGUUAAUCCCGCCUCUACUAUUUUUUUUCCAUAUAUUUAGGUCCCAAAUUUCUCCCUAUGCCGGGAGGGAAAGGAGGAGCAUGGGAAGAACAAGUCACCUGACCCCGAAAUUUGGGGGAUGGAAAGGAGGCUUAAUCCUCUAUGUACAUUCCCUUUUCCCCCUUCUAUGCCCAGAGCCUCUUCGAGCUUGGCAUUAAAAGGUCUUUCACGUCCCUGGCCCUUCCUGCCCUUCUUCUCAAACAAAUCUUCAUCCCUGAGGUCCCAGUAGUGCAGCAGCACCUGCCCUGCCUGCUGUGCUUCAAUGGGUGAACACUGCGCUUCUGAUACCGCUGUGAGAGCAGUGACGCCGGGAGUUCUUGGAGGAAACGUCAGGGAUAGAAGUUUUUUGCUGAAACCAGUUUUGCCCCAAAUCUCUGCGUUACCUGAGAUUCCAGAGAAAUCAAUAAAGUUGGAUUGGCAGUUGCCACCUCUCUGGGUACCCUCCCGUGGGCUCACCAUAACUCCUCUUUGGAGUGGAAAGUGUUAGUAACCAAAGGAUAAAUGGUCCUGGAAGAAGAAAACAGAAGACAAAGCUGAGGGUCAGAGAUGGACCAGGAUGAGAUAUGCUGCUAUUUUUACUCAAAUCUUUGGGCACCAUCUGUAACCCCUGUGAUUCCUUUUCCCAAUUUUUGCAGAAUGUAUAUAAUUUGAGUCAUGUGGUUCCAGUGUUGCCUUCUUUAAGUCUGCAGAAAGGCAACAUGUCAGUAUUCAUUAUCCAUUGAGGAUAUGAAACAUUUAAGUUACCUAUCAGGGGACACUCAACUUGAGCUAUCAUGCUUAUGGCCUCCUCUGAGUCUUUUUAGCAUAUAGGUGAUCCCACUUUCUUAAAAGGCCAAUGAUAACCUACUGAUAUGUGCUACUAUGGAGUAGCUUCAAGGAACAGUGCUGACUGGGUCCAAGAUUAAGCUAAAGGAUAAAAUAGACUAUUAUUCAGACUAUUAAAACACUAAGUUAGAAAGUCCAUAUUUAGGGGCAGCUAGACAGUUCAGUAGAUAAGGUCAGGCCUGGAGAUGGGAAGUCCUGGAUUCAAAUCUGGUCUCAGAUACUUCCUAGCUAUGUGACCCUGGGCAAAUCACUUAAUCCUGAUGGUCUAGCCCUUACCACUCCUCCCUUGGAAUCUAUUCUAUGACAAAAGAUGAGAAAUUAAAAAAGGAAGGAAGGAAAUAAAGAAUAUAUUAAUUAAUUAAGAAAGUCCAUAUGUAACGGUUCAAGAUCCUCCAUCCUAUCUGGAUUUUCUUCUCUCUAGUCAUGAUUCCCCUUUGUCUAUAAGAUUUAGAUAUAUUUCAGUUGUAACUUAGUGAACAUAGCAAAUAUGAAAGGAAAUUAUACAUGUCCCUAUACGGUACUGUCCACUUCCAGCCAUCCCUUCAAUAUCCUCCCAGUUGCCCUUUCAGAUAUUUGGACACAGCAGGGGAAAAUUUCCAGGUCACUCAUGCUUAUUGAAGGGAAUAAGGGAAAGGUGUGUCUCAGAGCCACAGCCUUGUUAUAGCAAGGGAAAGAAGGAAGACUAUUGGAAUUCAAUCUUUCCUCAGCUUAAAACACAAUUAGAUUCACAACAGUUGUCAGGCUUGGUUCUCAAGAUCCUCUCUUGUCAUGGCUCCUAUCUCUGAUCCAGCUCCACUAGAACUUCUCCAUUCAUAGCACUGAUCUCUAGGAGUCUUCUUGCUCAUCAGCCAAGAGCACCUUAGGUGUAGCAACAGUGAUUCCAGGUACUUUCAACACCUGCACUGGUGAUCAGGAAGGCCAAAACUCAACCUCAAUAAAAGGAAGAGAAGAUAAUCCUCUCUGGCAGUAGUCUCCAAAUUUUUUUGAUCAUGCACCAUCACCACCACCACCACUACCCCCAGCAGUAAACAAUUUUUUAGUACAUACCCUUAAUAUGUGUAUAUACACUUAGUCAUAAAUUACUUGGAAGUGCUACUGUACUAAUAAUUAUAUGCAUUCUGCAAGUUAUACAAAAUAGAAAUUAAAUGGGUGAAAUGAAGAUCAAAUAAUAUUUUGGCCUAGAGUAAAUAGGGAACUGCUGGAAUUUGUUAAGCAGAAAGGUAGUAUGGUCAGACCUAAGCACUAGCAGCUAUGUAAAGGAAGAAUGUAGUGGGGAGAGAUUUACAGCAGGAAAUCUAAUUAGGAAGCUACUGGAAUAGUUCAAGUGAGAGGGAAUGGAGGGCCUGAAUUGGGGGAGUAGCUAUGUGAAUAGAGUUGUGAAUUUUACAACUACUCUACCCUUCUCAGACCGUACUUUAGAAAUUCUGAUUUAGCUAUUUCCUGAUAAGUAACAAUGGAGAUACUUAGUUUAACAGAAUCAGGUCUUGGGAACUCUAUAUUGCUCCACCCUACUUAGUUUAACAAGGUCAAGAAUGUCUGCACCAUACUCAAGGAUUAAGUAUCUGAGGAAAUGGCCUUCAACAGACAUGUGCAGAAACAGUGGACAAACCCCUGGGCUGUCCUUAGUCAAGCUAAGCUAUCAUUGGUACAGAUGAGAUGCAGGAAAGUGACAUAAAACUGUCUAUAUAAGGCACGGCAUUUCCUCUGCUCUCUCUCUCUUUCCCCGGAGAGGCAACUCUGGCUGGCAGCAUGCUAAGCAUUCCGACAUCUUGGCGUGGUGGCAACUAUUUGUCUGGGUUUGGUGGUGAGUUUGCCCUUGAGCUGAUUCAGGUUCAGGCAUCUUGGAUGAGCCCUUUUUGGAGUUCAGGCUGAUUCCUUCCUCCAUACUCUCCAAAAACCCUUACUGAAAGCCUCUGGUCUUCCUCCUGGCACUAGCCAGGUGGAGAAAUCCUAUACCCUUUCCUUCUUCCUUCUUCUUAAUUUCUUUCCACUAUAUCAAUUAAAUCACCAUAAAUUUCAAGCUGACUUGGUUAUAUAUUUUUUUAUAUUUGGGAUAUCCAUGGCAACCAAAUAAUUAGCAUAGUUUAGGUCACAACGCUAAAAUUAUCCUUUACAGAGACAUGGGUUAGAUGGGAGAGAUGACAUUAGAUGAAUUAGAAAUGACAGGAUUUGAUAACUGAUUGGAAAUGAGGAAUGAGAGAAUGCAAGAGUUGUUGAAGAUGACAAGAUUGUGAACUUGGAUGACUAAAAGAAGGGCAGUAUCCAGACAGCAAUAAGAAAACUCAUCAGAGGGGUGGCUUUGGGGGGUGAAAGAUAAUGGAAUGAAAUCUGACAUCUGUAGCUAUCCAUCCAUACCAACUCAUCCCAUCCACCCAAAAUAAAAAGGGUCAGAGGUAGGGAAAAGGAGUUCUUAACAGUCACUACCCUAUAGCAUAGAGCUUUUGAUCUGCAGCACUAGAUGACCUAGGAGAUUGGAUUUUUUUUUUUUAAGGAAAAGAACCUGUGUUUUCAGGGGAAGCUAGGUGGACAGUGAAUAGAGGCCUGAAGUUGGGAAGACCUGGGUUCAAAUCUGGACUCAGAUAUAUCCUACUUGGGUAACCCUGAGCAAGUCACUUAACCCCAAAUGCCUUGCCACUCUUAUGAUUUUGAAUUGAUACUAAGACAGAAGGAAAGGGUUACUUUAAGAAAAACAAAAGAACCUAUGUGUUCUAAAAUAUUUAUAGCACUUCUCUUUAUGGAGGCAACGAACCAAAAAUUAAGGGGAUUCCCAUCAAUCGAGGAAUGGCUAAACAAAAUGUGGCAUAUAAUUGUGAUGGAAUACUACUAAACCAUAAAAAAAUGACAAGCAGGUUGUUGUUUGUUUGUUUUUUAAGAACAUGGAAAGACCUACCUGAAAUUAUGAAGAAUGUAACAAGCAGAACCAAGAGAACAUUAUAUAUAACCACAGAAGUCUUGUUUAAAAAAUAACUUAUCUAUGUCCACCUCCAGAGAAAGAACUGAUAAAUAGAAACCAGCAAGAUUUAGUUCUAUAAAUUCACAUAUAUAUUUGUCCCCUUUUCUAGUGUACAGACAGGAAAGAGAGUGGGAGAUAAUUGAGAACUUUAAUGUAACAAAUAAACAAAUUAAUUUUUUUAAAGAUAGAAGAUAGGUAUGCUGAGAAAGAAGCUAUGGAAUUUGCCAGAUAGCAAUUAGGUUCUAACUACCCUAAGAGACUGAAGCCUAGUUUUGGAAGGUAUAGGUUGGAAGUUUGUAUACUGAAAGGAGGGAGAAGAGUGAGGAAGUAUGGGAGGAGUGUAGGUGAAAGUGUGUAAGAGAGAAACCAAGCCAUUUUCUAUGAUGGGGAAAGUGAUCACUCACCCCUUGAGGUAAACCAUGAUUUCCCAAGAGGCCCUAGCCUUCAUUUCGGAGACUACUUCUUUAAACCAACAUUUAGAUCUCUUUUUUUUUCUUCACAAGAACAUGAUUUCCUGCCCCAAAGUGUAUUUGAGGCAGUAUAACUUUCUUCUAUCCUCUCUAUCCUAGAAAGAAUUGAGGCAAUCUCACUUCCAGUGUCUUACAAACUCUGUUUCCCUCUAGAGAAACAUCCCUGGACCUUCAAAUCCCCACAAGAAAUGGCGAUAUAGAAAUAUCAUCUAUACUUAGUCACAGAUAGAUUUCUUUAUUGGCUCAUUCAUAGCUGGACUUUCAUUUAUUGGCAUUGAAAUAAACUGAACCCUCAAAGCACUGUAGCCUUGGAAGAUUUAUCAGAGUAUGUCUCAUUGUGGGCAGAUGCUAAGACAGAGAAGGGAGAGCAGUGUGACCCAAAAGACAGAAACAUUUCUGUGUGGUGAGGGACAGGUCCUCUCUUCUCCUUCUCUUAAGUCCUUCCUAGGUCUCUGAGCCUGGGCAUAGGGUAUUAGGGUAAACAGAAGCCAGUGAGAAACUGUGGAAAAAUAAUUCAGCUUUUGAUCAUUCCUGCCUGCCCCCCUCACCCCUCCCUACCCCAACCCUCCCCACCCCAUCCAAGUGGAGAAGACUCCAGCUGUCUGAGGAACUAGGCCUCAAAGGUGGGUGUUUCCUCUUGUAGUACCCAUUACAGUUUUCCCUUCUGCUACAGCAAAGACAGUGGAGGAAUAGUACACCAACAUGUUGCUUCAGAAGGGUGAAUUGUAAAAAUUCCUUCGAGCCAAAAGUCUAGGAUCUUACUCUUAGAAUUUUCUAUUACUACCAAGUUGUUUAAAUACAUAUCCUUGCUGGCUGGCUUUCGGACACUGGUUAAGUUACUUAACCUUACUUUGAAUCAAUUGGUAAUUCUUUCUAUCAUCACAAAACCCUGAGCACCCUGGGGAGGUCACAAGACCAUGCAAGGUGUCAUAUAACACUAGAGAAAGUCCUCUGAUAUCAGAUCCAAGAACAGUCUGAUGGGCAGAGAGCCCAUCAGUGAAGCCAGUCAUUCCUCCCAAUCACCAAGGAUCUUCCUCUGAACACUGGCCGGAGAACAUCUGGCUGAUCAAGAGGACUCUUGACUCAUCAUGGAGCUGACCCAGCAGCUUUGAUUCUCAAAUCCUGAGACUAAGCUGUGCAAUGACAGCAUAAGGAGUGGAUGCUUGCAACAAAGAGAAUCUCAGAAAUGCCCUAAGUAUUCCUUAACCCUGAUUUACUUCCUAAGAAGUGAUCCUAGACCCUUGAGAAAGGAAACCUCUUAAUCCAUGCUAGACAGAGAAAGAGAACUCUCUUGUCUUCGCUAGGAAAUUUGAAGGAAUGGUAGGGGAAUGUGAGAAGGAGCCAACUAAAUGUGAAGUUUUCGUUGAUUUUAAAGAAAAGGCACUGAGACAAGUUGAAGAGCAAUAAUUGGAAUAGUGAGUCUUUGAUUUUCACUGGUUUUAACCCCUGAAAUCACUCAGUCUAAAGUCUAAGUGGAAUGGUUGGGAGAUUCAUUAUAUGAAUUAUAAAAUUCCCUAAGUAGAAAGUCUUUGAGCAUGCUCAAAAUUCAUGUGAGAAUGUAGACCUGGGAACUGUGUCAUGUGAUAAAGAAAAGCCUAGCACGGAGAAAGGGAAAAUGCUCCUAGAAUAGAAAGGGAGAAGCAGCCAAACAAAAUAAGGGAUGGGGGUUAAGUAUUGUAGACAAGAAGGGUUGGGGGUUAAGUUUUGGAGAACAAGAAGGGGCCUCUAGUAGGGAUUCUUUAGAGCUGUAAACUCAUCAGACAAUGUCUUGUGUAAUUAGUAUUUCCCAAAAGGAUAGGGACUGCCUUGGAUUUCUGAAUCUCAGGAAGAGCCUGGGGACAUCCCUGCUCCUACACAUUUUCCUUUCUUGGGUGUUCUGUGUGGGCAGCUGUAUGUAUUCCAGUUGAAUCAUAACUCUAGAUUUGCUCAACUCUGGCAGCAUCAUAUGCCAGGGCAAGAGGACCCAAAGGGGGAGUUUAUAUCAAACGAGCCUCUGCCUCCCAGUUGGCCCAGGAGAAGGGAAGACAGGGGUCCAAAAAUCUAACAACCCCCUUCUACUGAUACCUUCUAUCCCUGGUCUCAGUUGCUAUUUCUGAAAAUAACACUAGGAUUUAGUUUCACUGGAAUCAUGAGAAGACAUGUUUGGUUACCUUGGCUAACUACACAGCUAUUUACUAUAACGGCACCAUAUUUAGAGAUGGGAGAAAAUAUUAGGGCAUGAAAAUAUUAACAAAAAGUUAGAUUUGGAAUACAAUACUAGGAAUCUAAAUUAAUAAUAUUUGGGCAAUUUUUGUAUAUCUUUUGUUUUCUGUUGAAUUAAAAAUAUUAAUUUGCAUUGAAAUUUAUAUGCAAUUUGCCACUUCUAAUGCUUCUUUCAUUAAAAAAAAUAACACUAUGCCCUUGGGGCAUACUUUUCUUUUUUUAUUAUUUUUCUUCUCCGUUAUACAUGUAUUAUCAUGCAAAACUUAUUUCUAUAUUGUUCAUUUUUGUAAGUAGACAAUCAUAUAAAACAAAAAUCCAAAUAAACAAGUGAAAAAUCAUAUGCUUU